rnacentral:rRNA from 1 species
AUUGAACGCUGGCGGCAGGCCUAACACAUGCAAGUCGAGCGAGCGGCGGACGGGUGAGUAAUGUCUGGGAAACUGCCUGAUGGAGGGGGAUAACUACUGGAAACGGUAGCUAAUACCGCAUACCAUCAGAUGUGCCCAGAUGGGAUUAGCUGGUAGGUGGGGUAACGGCUCACCAAGGCGACGAUCCCUAGCUGGUCUGGGAGGAUGACCAGCCACACUGGAACUUGGACACGUCCCAGACCCCUAGGGAGGGCAGCAGGGGGAAUAUUUGCACAAUGGGCGAAAGCCUGAUGCGCCCUGGCGGCGGUUAUGAGGAGGGCCUGCGGGUUGAAAAGUACUUUCGCCGGGGAGACGUUACCCGCAGAAGAAGCACCGGCUAACUCCGUGCCAGCCGCCGCGGUAAUUC